AUGUGAAUAAUCUAAGGAUCUUGUUAAAAUGCAGAUUCUAAUUAGUAAGUUUGGGGUGGGGCCUAAGAUUCUGUACUUCUAAUAAGUUCUUAGGUAAUGCUGAU
rnacentral:pre_miRNA from 1 species